GACAGUAUGGCGUAGUGGUUCGAGGUUUGGACUACGACUCUGGAGACCAGGGUUCAAUUCCCAGCUCAGCCA